GACGAACGCUGGCGGCGUGCUUAACACAUGCAAGUCGAACGGAAAGGCCCUGCACUUGUGGGGUGCUCGAGUGGCGAAAGGGUGAGUAAAACGUGAGUAAAAUGCCCUUGACUUUGGGAUAAAUUCAGGAAACUGGGGCUAAUACCGGAUAGGAGCUCCUGAUGCAUGGUGGGGGUUGGAAAGUUUCGGAGGUUGGGGAUGGAAACGCGGCUUAUCAGCUUGUUGGUGGGGUAGUGGCUUAACAAGGCUUUGACGGGUAGCCGGCCUGAGAGGGUGACCGGCCACAUUGGGACUGGGAUACGGCCCAGACUCCUACGGGAGGCAGCAGUGGGGAAUAGUGCACGAUGGGCGGAAGCCUGAUGCAGCAACUCCGCGUGCUGGAUCACGGCCGUCGGGUUGUAAACCGCUUUCGCCUGUGACGAAGCGUGAGUGACGGUAAUGGGUAAGGAAGCACCGGCUAACUACGUG
rnacentral:rRNA from 1 species